AUGACUUGUUUAUGUUUGACUCUUGUUGUUGGGCCUUGGUCAAGGUUGAUUUGACUUUGGUCAAAUUAAUAUCAUUGGAUUUAGGGGAUUGAUGGAAUGUGCAUUCCAUCUCCCAAAAUGAAUGGAUGAUAUUAAUUUGGUAAAAGUCCUCCUUUGACCAAUUUGUGUUUUGAUCCAUUCCCCUCAAACUUCAUCUUAUUCCCUUUCUUCAUUCAU
rnacentral:lncRNA from 1 species